UUGACACCCAAUGCUAGAAGUGAUGAAAGAAUCCUGCAGCUCUUCCGUAUGAUGAACCGAAUGUUUGAUAAGCACAAUGAAUCAAGGCGCCGCCACAUCUACAUUCACACACCAAUCAUCAUACCAGUUUGGUCUCAGGUAAUAAAAUUAGGCCUGUGAUAAUUGCGGUUCUACUUUUACUUCUUGAAUAAUUUUGUUAUUGUUCUCCAUUACUCUUUUAGUAUUUUAUUGUUCAAUACAAAUUGAGAUAUGUUCUUGGUUUGUGUGCGUGCAUCAUAAUGUGCUUAUAGAAGCCUUCUGCAUAAACAUAGCUCAAGAAAUAUAUUUUUCUGAUGUGUGGUGAUGAUGGCUUAAUGUGUGCUUUGCUUUUUUACUGCCUAAUAAAUCAUCAAAACUCCUAAAGGCACUUGUACAUCCAUUUCUGACUUGGAAUCAAGUUAGAAUCAUCUUUUUUCAUUGCUAUAAUUCUUAUGUAGGUGCGAAUGGUUGAAGAUGAUCUGAUGUACGGCACCUUCCUUGAGGUAUAUGAGAACCAUUGUGCUAGAAAUGACCGAGAGGCAGACUUACCGAUAACGUAUUUCAAAGAGCAACUGAACCAAGCUAUAAGCGGUCAGAUAUCACCAGAAGCUGUGGUAGAUCUUCGCCUUCAAGCAUACAAUGAGAUAACCAAGGGUAUUGUGACAGACAACAUAUUCUCCCAG
rnacentral:lncRNA from 1 species